rnacentral:rRNA from 1 species
AUACGUAGGGUGCAAGCGUUAAUCGGAAUUACUGGGCGUAAAGCGUGCGCAGGCGGUUUUGUAAGACAGAGGUGAAAUCCCCGGGCUCAACCUGGGAACUGCCUUUGUGACUGCCAGGCUAGAGUGCGGCAGAGGGGGAUGGAAUUCCGCGUGUAGCAGUGAAAGGCGUAGAUAUGCGGAGGAACACCGAUGGCGAAGGCAAUCCCCUGGGACUGUACUGACGCUCAUGCACGAAAGCGUGGGGAGCAAACAGGAUUAGAUACCCUGGUAGUCCACGCCCUAAACGAUGUCAACUGGUUGUUGGGUCUUCAUUGACUCAGUAACGAAGCUAACGCGUGAAGUUGACCGCCUGGGGAGUACGGCCGCAAGGUUGAAACUUAAAUGAAUUGACGGGG